AAUCCAUAGGUUAAUGAGGCGAACCGGGGGAACUGAAACAUCUAAGUACCCCGAGGAAAAGAAAUCAACCGAGAUUCCCCCAGUAGCGGCGAGCGAACGGGGAGGAGCCCAGAGCCUGAAUCAGCAUGUGUGUUAGUGGAAGCGUCUGGAAAGGCGCGCGAUACAGGGUGACAGCCCCGUACACAAAAGCGCAUGUGCUGUGAGCUCGAUGAGUAGGGCGGGACACGUGGUAUCCUGUCUGAAUAUGGGGGGACCAUCCUCCAAGGCUAAAUACUCCUGACUGACCGAUAGUGAACCAGUACCGUGAGGGAAAGGCGAAAAGAACCCCGGCGAGGGGAGUGAAAAAGAACCUGAAACCGUGUACGUACAAGCAGUGGGAGCACCCUUUGGGUGUGACUGCGUACCUUUUGUAUAAUGGGUCAGCGACUUAUAUUCUGUAGCAAGGUUAACCGAAUAGGGGAGCCGGAGGGAAACCGAGUCUUAAUUGGGCGUUAAGUUGCAGGGUAUAGACCCGAAACCCGGUGAUCUAGCCAUGGGCAGGUUGAAGGUUGGGUAACACUAACUGGAGGACCGAACCGACUAAUGUUGAAAAAUUAGCGGAUGACCUGUGGCUGGGGGUGAAAGGCCAAUCAAACCGGGAGAUAGCUGGUUCUCCCCGAAAGCUAUUUAGGUAGCGCCUCGUGAAUUCAUCUCCGGGGGUAGAGCACUGUUUCGGCUAGGGGGCCAUCCCGGCUUACCAACCCGAUGCAAACUGCGAAUACCGGAGAAUGUUAUCACGGGAGACACACGGCGGGUGCUAACGUCCGUCGUGAAGAGGGAAACAACCCAGACCGCCAGCUAAGGUCCCAAAGUCAUGGUUAAGUGGGAAACGAUGUGGGAAGGCCCAGACAGCCAGGAUGUUGGCUUAGAAGCAGCCAUCAUUUAAAGAAAGCGUAAUAGCUCACUGGUCGAGUCGGCCUGCGCGGAAGAUGUAACGGGGCUAAACCAUGCACCGAAGCUGCGGCAGCGACGCUUAUGCGUUGUUGGGUAGGGGAGCGUUCUGUAAGCCUG
rnacentral:rRNA from 2 species